GUCGGGUUUUGUUGGCGGAUGACGGCCUUUGGUUGUUCAGGGUAUCCUGACCUUCCUCACGAAACUUCCUUCCCUCCCAAAUACUGUGCCAUUAAUUGGUUCAGAAUGGACAUACAUACAAGCCAGGCCAAUCGAUACCAGUGACAUGAAAAUGAACCAGGAGGCAACUUUAUUUCCUAUGGACCUGAACCUGAGAGGAUGUGGAGAAUGACUCCAAAACUCAGAAGAGACCAGAAUCAAGCAGAAAGACAGAAAAAACAAAACAUGAUUUUAUGAACAAAGGAAAUGGAAUAAACAUCUAAACGAUGAAAGCAAAGACCCUAGAGAACAAUGUUCAAAGGAUAUCCUUCUGGAGAGCAGAAUCAAGGCUGAAUCGCAGGGUAAGGAACCUUCAUAAUGCCUGUGUGGCAGGCAGGAUACACAGCAUUGCUAUGGCCCAGUGACUAUUGCACAUCUUUUCUAAAUAGGAAUACUUAUUGUGGUUAUCGUGACUCUGCUCCAUUGUUUAUUGUAUGAGAGAGGAGAGCAGAUAAUUGUCUCUUAGUUCAUAGACCACUGGACCAUGAAGAACCACUUCUAGACCUAAGGAAGAAGACACACCAUACCUGGAGAUUCUGGGGAUUCGGCUCAAUUCAAUGACUGGACAGGAGCCUACUGGCAUCUAUAUAAUUCUCUGAAAAAAGGAUAAGAGGUUGAAUCUGUGUAUGGUAUUCAUUCAUUCAUUCAUUCUGUUAUUCAAACAAUAUUUAAUGAUUACUUAAACCAGGAACUGUCCUGGGUUUAGGGAUAUAAAAGGCAGGUGUGACUCCUGCAUUCAUAAAGUUUAGAGUCUGGAGGGGGAAAUACAUGCAGUCUAUUUGCAUUUAAGUGUACUUUAUGAACAAAUAAUAGGGUCAAUAAUGUGUGCUUGUUACUCCUAAUAAAGGGAUGGUGAUUUUCAGGGUUAUGUAGAUCAUUUUCUUUAGUGCCUUCUCUGAUCAGUACCUACUGCCACCACCAUACCUCCAUUCUCAAAGUGGAGCAGUCCAUUAUCCCAAUUAUUCUCACAGAAGGGGCAUAUUGAUAAACAUCACUGCCUGUGAGCAGUAUAGAAAUGGUUUUAAUUUUCCCUGCUGCUUAUCCAUUGCUAGUACAUUAUUUUCCAUCGAUAGUAAGUCGAUAGUAUGUUAUUUUCCAUCAAGAAGGCACCUAUAAUGGAGGAACAAACUAUGGCAGAACACUGUGAUUCUUUGUUAUGUAGGCACAUUUUUUAAAUGAAAAUAAUGAGAAGGAAAGGGAAAGAAAGCAUUUAAGCAGAGACUUUUCUGUUCUGGUUUCAGAUCCAAAGAAGAUACUCAGUGACUUUAUAAGACACAUAUUUCCUUCAUCCUUCAUUUAUCCAUCUGUUACAGAGAAGGAUGUAGGAAAAACAAAUAUUCCUUUCUGAUGGCAGUGGACAUAUAUUUGUAUCAAAUAGGGUAGAAGGCAGAAGGAAUGAGACUGAGCCACAUAUUGGGUUGUUUGAAAAGUCAUGACGCAUUUUUGCAAUGAAAAUCAUAGAAAAAAUACGUCAUGACUUUUCUGACAACUCAAUAGUUCUGUUAGCUAUUUGAGGUGAUGGCUGUACAUGCAUAGCUUAGCUUUUGGGGGGUUAUAGAAUGAAGCUAUGAAAAAAAUCUUAAAAUAGUUGUAUCUGUAUCAAAAUGGUGCCCUAAAAUGUGUUAAUUUAUGUAUUUUAAACAUAGUUUAUAUUUUCUUAACACCUCUUUAAAACAGGGCAUUUCCACUUGCCAGGAAAACAAGCAACAAAGAAAUUAAGUGAUUUAUUGGAUGCCACAUGUUACUGUAGUCCUGAAUCCAUACAAAUACUUUCCUUUCCAUACAUUAACAUUGAUUUUCCAAGCAACCCUGUAGGUCAAAAUUUUGUAAAAUAUUUCUGUACACACAAACACUGAGAGAAGACUCUCAGAGGAGAGAACAGUAGAAAUGGGGUGCUAAAACAGGACUUUCUGUUUUGGAGCACCAGUAAAGCCCACAGGAAUGUCUAGUGUGUUAGAGAAGCCCAACAGUGCAGGACUAUGUAACAUGCCAUGUACCCCUUACAUCCUAAAGCAGUGUGCUAGGGCAUAUCAACUGUAGCCUGACUAUGGCUGUGAUUCACUCUGGGACCCAGACUGAGGGAGUAGCCACUCUCUGGAACACUGCUUGUGACAAAGGGAAAGGCAAACAUGGUGAAUCCUGUGCUGGCUGUUAAAGGUUCUGCCCUGAAGUGGCACAUUGCUUCUGUUUAAGUCAUACACCUAAGGCUACACCUGACUUCAUCAGGACAGGAAUGUAUAAUCUGCACAGAGGGGCACCAAGUAAAGGUAAAUACAGUCCACUAUAGUAGGAAAUUGGAGUGAAUUUUAUUCAAGAUCCAGGGAAAAAUGAGUUCACCGAGCAGUUUUAAAGGGGCAGUAGGGAAAAUCAUAAGAUUGAUUUCUUAUACCUCACACUGACCGAUAGUAUUUUCCAAAAAGGGUCGCAAUGGUAUCUUUCAACCCACGUACUAGAACCUUGCCACUCAUUCUUCACCAUCACCAACAUCAUCAAUAUUGGUUCAUUAAUUUGUGAGAAAUGUGCCAUAGUAACGUAAGAUGUUAAUAAUGGAAAACAGGGUGUGGGAUAUGUGGGAACUUUCUGUACUAUCAUUGCAACUUUUCUGUAAAUCUAAAACUCUUCUAAAAUAAAAUGUUAAUUUUUAAAAAGUCA